CAGUUAAAGUUGAAAUCCAGACAUACAACAAACACUUUUUCAGUGUAAGUAUAGCCCAUGCAAUAUUUGGGACAUACUUACACUAAAAACUUCCUUUUCACCCUGAACAUU
rnacentral:miRNA from 1 species